AAAAUGAUCAAACAAA
rnacentral:sRNA from 1 species